rnacentral:ncRNA from 2 species
CCAUGCUUGACGGAGCGCGAGUAAUCCCUCGCUGAGAUUGUGUAAAUGUCCGCAUUUAAACACAAGUACCGUUGAACCUGAUCAGGUUAAAACCUGCGUAGGAAUCAAGCCAUCUAAAAAC